rnacentral:rRNA from 1 species
GAUGAACGCUAGCGGCAGGCUUAACACAUGCAAGUCGAGGGGUAGGUUACUUCGGUAAUUGAGACCGGCGCACGGGUGCGUAACGCGUAUACAAUCUACCUUUUACAGAGGGAUAGCCCAGAGAAAUUUGGAUUAAUACCUCAUAGUAUUUUUGAAUCGCAUGAUUUGAUUAUUAAAGUUCCAACGGUAAAAGAUGAGUAUGCGUCCCAUUAGCUAGAUGGUAAGGUAACGGCUUACCAUGGCUACGAUGGGUAGGGGUCCUGAGAGGGAGAUCCCCCACACUGGUACUGAGACACGGACCAGACUCCUACGGGAGGCAGCAGUGAGGAAUAUUGGACAAUGGGCGCAAGCCUGAUCCAGCCAUGCCGCGUGCAGGAUGACGGUCCUAUGGAUUGUAAACUGCUUUUUGUACAGGAAGAAACACUACUUCGUGAAGUAGCUUGACGGUACUGUAAGAAUAAGGAUCGGNUAACNCGUGCAGCAGCCGCGGUAAAG